GCGAAGAACCUUACCUGGUCUUGACAUCCACAGAACUUUCCAGAGAUGGAUUGGUGCCUUCGGGAACUGUGAGACAGGUGCUGCAUGGCUGUCGUCAGCUCGUGUUGUGAAAUGUUGGGUUAAGUCCCGCAACGAGCGCAACCCUUAUCCUUUGUUGCCAGCGGUCCGGCCGGGAACUCAAAGGAGACUGCCAGUGAUAAACUGGAGGAAGGUGGGGAUGACGUCAAGUCAUCAUGGCCCUUACGACCAGGGCUACACACGUGCUACAAUGGCGCAUACAAAGAGAAGCGACCUCGCGAGAGCAAGCGGACCUCAUAAAGUGCGUCGUAGUCCGGAUUGGAGUCUGCAACUCGACUCCAUGAAGUCGGAAUCGCUAGUAAUCGUGGAUCAGAAUGCCACGGUGAAUACGUUCCCGGGCCUUGUACACACCGCCCGUCACACCAUGGGAGUGGGUUGCAAAAGAAGUAGGUAGCUUAACCUUCGGGAGGGCGCUUACCACUUUGUGAUUCAUGACUGGGGUGAAGUCGUAACAAGGUAACCGUAGGGGAACCUGCGGUUGGAUCACCUCCUUACCUUAAAGAAGC
rnacentral:rRNA from 1 species